AAGCAAUGAGUAUUUUAUGAAGUCUUUGUAUUAUGUUUACAGGAUAGGAAAAAUAUGAAAAGGUGAUGUUUGCUUGAAGAUGGCUUCCAUGAAAAUGUGGAAGAAAAGCCUCAUUUAAAAAAAUGUUCUGGCUUCUCUGCUGGAUCCAACGAUAACUUUCUGAUGUCAUUGGCAACCAGAUAAAAGUGUGCCCACAGAUACAACUAACUGAGCUGCACCCUUGUUGACUUUAAAAGGUAGAGAGAUGCUUACAGGACAUUCUAUGUGAAAGACUUUUGACUUUGUAACUCAUAAUCCAACAUGCUCCACCACAGUCUGGAUUUGAUACAUCUCCAGGCAGUGGUUCCCAACCUUUUUAGACCACGGAACGGCAAACUGCAGAUCAGAAGUGACUAUGGACCAGAAGUGAUCAUGCUAUUUUGGAGAAUUAUUCUUUCUAUUUUAAGUAGUGCUAGCAACUUGAGAUACAAGCAAUUAAAAUUAUUACAGUGUUGAUAAAGACACACUAAAACCACUGUAAAUAGAUCUAUCACUAAAGAGCCCUCAGAUAUCUACUUACAUUAUUUUAAGACUGUAGUUGCAGU